CGCGAUCUUGAGCUCGUAUUUCGUGGGUUUGAGCUCGGAGAGGAGUAUUCGGAUGAUUCAAAGUUUUCGGAGCUAGGGCUUGCUUGGUUGGGCUUGGAUUUCGUUCUUCGACUUCGAGGUGUGAACCCGGAGCAGUAGCAUGGAGCGAAGUGCAUGCAUUCAAGUGCAUAUUUUCGAAAGAAGUGGCAAAAGAGACUCAAGGACUUUUGAUAAAACAUGUUUUGGGAA